CUGCUCAGAUUGAACGCUGGCGGCAGGCCUAACACAUGCAAGUCGAGCGGAUGAAGUGGAGCUUGCUCCAUGAUUCAGCGGCGGACGGGUGAGUAAUGCCUAGGAAUCUGCCUAUUAGUGGGGGACAACGUUUCGAAAGGAACGCUAAUACCGCAUACGUCCUACGGGAGAAAGCAGGGGACCUUCGGGCCUUGCGCUAAUAGAUGAGCCUAGGUCGGAUUAGCUAGUUGGUGAGGUAAUGGCUCACCAAGGCGACGAUCCGUAACUGGUCUGAGAGGAUGAUCAGUCACACUGGAACUGAGACACGGUCCAGACUCCUACGGGAGGCAGCAGUGGGGAAUAUUGGACAAUGGGCGAAAGCCUGAUCCAGCCAUGCCGCGUGUGUGAAGAAGGUCUUCGGAUUGUAAAGCACUUUAAGUUGGGAGGAAGGGCAUUAACCUAAUACGUUAGUGUUUUGACGUUACCGACAGAAUAAGCACCGGCUAACUUCGUGCCAGCAGCCGCGGUAAUACGAAGGGUGCAAGCGUUAAUCGGAAUUACUGGGCGUAAAGCGCGCGUAGGUGGUUUGUUAAGUUGGAUGUGAAAGCCCCGGGCUCAACCUGGGAACUGCAUCCAAAACUGGCAAGCUAGAGUAUGGCAGAGGGUGGUGGAAUUUCCUGUGUAGCGGUGAAAUGCGUAGAUAUAGGAAGGAACACCAGUGGCGAAGGCGACCACCUGGGCUAAUACUGACACUGAGGUGCGAAAGCGUGGGGAGCAAACAGGAUUAGAUACCCUGGUAGUCCACGCCGUAAACGAUGUCGACUAGCCGUUGGGAUCCUUGAGAUCUUAGUGGCGCAGCUAACGCAUUAAGUCGACCGCCUGGGGAGU
rnacentral:rRNA from 1 species